rnacentral:rRNA from 1 species
GACAGAGGCCUCAAGCGUUAGGCGGAAUCACUGGGCUUAAAGCGUGUGUAGGCGGAUCGUUAAGUGUCUUGUGAAAUCCCACGGCUCACCCGUGGAACUGCUGGGCAUACUGGCGAUCUUGGGCCAACUAGGGGCAACUGGAACAAGCGGUGGAGCGGUGAAAUGCGUAGAUAUCAAGUGGAACACCAGUGGCGAAGGCGAGUCCCUGGACGACUCCUGACACUGAGGCACGAAAGCUAGGGGAGCAAACAGG